AAGCCUUCUGCUUCCGUUGCGCUUCACCGACAUUCCAACGCACUUGUUGAUGUACUUCCUCCGGAGGCUGAUUCCAGUAUCUCACUUCUUAGCCAGUCCGAGAAACCUGAUGUCUCUUACAAUGUCAGUUAGUUAACAAUUUCUCAAUUGGUUUUGGAUUACGGUUAUUUUUUGAUAAAUUACAUAAUCUAGGGUUUUCAUUACAUAAAUUCCUUCAAUUGCAAAUGCAACUGAUUCCUUUUUACCUUAUUAGGUUUAGUUUCUGCCCAAAAAGGAAUUUUUGUAUGUGUAUUUUUAGUUUCAGUAUCAAUUUUGUUGUUAGGUUUAGUUACCAUGAAAUUUAAUUUUCAACUUUUGGGGCUUACUCUGAAAAUUAAACCAGCAUUACAUUCACUGAAGUGUCUUUGUUUCUUUUUUAAGAAACAUUGGAAACAAACUGAAUAUGUAUAUCUGUUGAGACAGGAAUGUCCCAGACAGAUACUCUUAACAGUGCAUGACAUUGGAAAGUGUUGAGUUUAUUUGGAAAAUUGAGUGUCUAUUUAGCUUUGUAAUCCUGGAUUCUGGUGCAUGAUGUAACAGAUAUGGUUCAAAUUGUAUGCUAGAUUAUUGAUUCUAGGGGAUAGGGCAGUUACAUUAAACUGAAAGUAUAGGUCAUCAUGUGUGGGUGAGAACUUAGAUCUUAUAAGUUAUCAUGUAUGGGUGAGAACUUGGAUCUUCUGAAGAAUGAGAUGGUGUCAAUGAGAAAGAUGAGAGUUUACAAUGAAGUUAUUAUCCGGCAAUCCAACUUAUGUUUAAUAUGAACCGUUGUCAUCUUAAAGUUAAACUAUAUUUUAAUGUGGCCUGACCAUUCUCCCUUGAUAUGGUUUUGAUCUUAUUUAGGAUAUUGGAGGAUGUGAUAUCCAAAAGCAGGAAAUUCGCGAGGCUGUAGAGUUACCUCUCACACAUCACGAUCUAUACAAACAAAUUGGUAUUGACCCUCCUCGAGGUGUCUUACUAUAUGGCCCCCCUGGAACCGGUAAAACAAUGCUUGCCAAAGCUGUUGCUAAUCAUACCACUGCUGCUUUCAUCAGGGUUGUGGGUUCUGAGUUUGUGCAGAAGUAUCUUGGCGAGGUAUGAAUUUAUGUCAUUUGCAUUUGAAAUGAUGGUAACAAUGUUGUAACUCACUCAGCUCUCUUUGUUUGCCUUUGAAGAUUAUGGGCUUCAGAUUCUUAAUUUUCAAUAUUAUUGUGCUUUUUGAAUUUAUAUUUUGUUCCAAAAUGGUUGCUUAUAUAUUAUUAGGAUUACUUGAAAGAAAUUUUGCAUUAUAAAUUGUUCAAGAAAGUUAGCAUACAAAAUCCUCUUUUAAAGAAGAGAUGAGAAAUAAUUUGAAAAUAGUUAUCGGGUUAUCUACAUUGCUGGAAAGUAGGAAAAUAUACUUGUUAUUUUUUCUAUUACCAACAUUUAUGUUAUCCCAGCCCUAUUGUCUAGGGCUGUGAAUUUGAAAUUUCCAACUUUUGCUCUGUUGUGAAAAACCUAGAAUGUGCGGAUCUGUUCAUUUUCUAUCCUGUCUUCAAUGAAUCUACACAAUUCAUGCAGUCUCUGAGAAUAGGAUUGCGAGCAAUUCAAUGGUGAUUGCUGUCUUGUUGCAGCAUACUUUCAUAGGUAUAGAGUUGCUAACCCAUAAUUCUUUUAGUAGCUUUUCAAUCAAUCAAUAGUCACAUAAUUUCCGCUAUUCCAAUGGGCCAUGAGUGAGCAAUAACCAGAAAUUCACUUCCUUUCAAUGGUAAUGUGAGCCCAAUCUGCUUCUUUGAGGCUUAUUUUUGCGAGUGUCCCGGGUUAUUAUACUGCGUUUUUCUUCCCGGUGACUCUUUUGGAUACUUCACAAUUUAUGUGAACAGCUUCACAAAGUGUUGAAUGCAUGAAUUGAAUUAUCAAGCUUAUUGCAAAAUAUACAAUGAAAUAACUUUCUGUAUCUACCACUUCCCCAGUCUUUGCUGGUUGCAUCUUUGUAUUAGGCUCAGCGGGAGGUUCCGCUGCUUUACAUUGGAACAACACAGUUUAGCAAGUUCAUUUCAUUCUUUCUUUGGUUUGUCAACAUGCCUUUUAGAUAUGGUACGUUCUAUCUUCAGAAACUGUUUUAAGGUGACCCAAAUCCUUAUUACACCUUCUAGCUUCUCUUUCAAGCUUGUGGGUUUAGCUUCAUCAUUGUUUCUCAAUUUAUUGUUAAGCACAGAUAAUUAGUGCUGCAAUGUCAUCAUUGGCUCAGUGUUGAUAGAAUAAAGUGUGAUUAGCCUCACUUUGGAUGUAUCUUUGAGUUUGACUCUUAGCCGGUGCCCUAAACCUUUCAUACCAUGCUCAAGGAGAUUGAUUUUGUCCACACCAAAACUUCUUAAAACUGUAGACUUUGUCUUCACCUAAUUUAUUUUCAAACCCAAGUUAAAGGCUCAUAAGCACAUCUUUCAAUUCUCCAUUCAGAAAUGCAUUCUUCACAUGUAGUUAAUGUAUAUAGACCAGUCCAAGUUUACUGCCAAAGAUAGAAGAAUUCAAAUUGGGUUGAUUUUUUCUAUUUUGUCAAAUGUCCCUUGAAUUCCAAAGGUUUUGUGUAAAUCCAUUUGACUACGCACCGAGGCAGGGGAAAUCACAAGAGGGGGGAUGGCUUUUUGAGGGUCUAUUAUAAAAAAAAAAGGGAUACUGCAAGGGAUGGUUGCCAAUAAAUAGCAAGGUUCUAAUAUAAACAGGGGGAGGAAAAAUUCAUUGUUUUUACUCGAGAAUUAUCUUGUGUGAAGGAAGAAUGCUCCUUUGGGGCAUCUUUGUUCAUUCCUAUUGUUUUUCCGGUGUAAAUAGCAGAAAACUCCUUCUCUCCCUCUAAUAUUAUGUUGUUCUAACUUGUUAGAAUUGCCCUCUUUCUCAAGAAAGAUUCCCGAACCUGCCACACUUUGCAUCUUUUUUACACUUACCAUUAGCUUUACAUUUAAUAGGAAACAACCCUAUAGUGCUACCUACUGUCUUCUUAUGUCAUGGAAUGUUAACUAUUUUAUAAUGUUUCUAACAAACUGAUUAGAAAUUAAAGUGGUAAAAGCUUUAUGGUUACUUGACACUUGACAGAUUAUGUAGUACAUAUGUUUUGAAAUGAGUGUACAGUACAUGCCCUAUUUCCUUUCUUAAUACCUAUAGGAAUGUCACUAUAUAAACAAUUGAAAGAUAUAUUACAUGAGCCAUAUCGAGUUUGGUACUUGUCACUUCUCUCCUUGCCUACGAAAAAUCUUCACCAAUUGAAGGAAGAGGUGUCCGACCAAUGAUUGUACGGCGGUGCUAUGACGGAUAUACAUGGCAGUUUUUGGGCUUGCCGCGUUGGUAAAUAUCAGCCGAUAUUGCGAGUUUUUCCGCCCAGAGUUAUCGAUAGCAGCCGAUAGCGGCGCUAUCCCGGGAUAGCGGCCCAUAGCAGUGUCCCUCUGCUAUUUGAUGUUUAGUGGGUAGCGGGAGCGUGGUGCUUCCAUGCUCGAGCGAGUUUGAAUUGUUUUGAACGCGAAAACCCAGAUUUACCCUUGAAAUAAAUAAAUCUGGUUUGAUUUUACAACUGUUUUUCAUUACCUCUGUUUUUUAAGCAAUAGCCAUUUAAUAAAUCUAUUCCUCUUCUUCCUCUUUUAUUUAUUUGAUUUUACAUUAAAUAUAUGUUUUAUUCAUAUAAUUAGUCUAAAAAAUAGUCAAAUAGCGGUUAUCCCGCUAUCCGCUAUCCUGCUGAGUGUGCAUCUUUCCGUUGCGGUUGCGCCUCAUUAGUUACAGCUACUCUCAGUUGUUAGAGGGUUAGUUAGCCGGGUUGUGACAUUCUAUUAUAUCAUUUCCUUUGAGUUUCUGCCCCAAUGCCACAUUAUGAUAAUCAGAAGCAGUUCUCUGAUUAUCUACAUUCCUAAAAGGGGAAAUUACACUUAUCGAAUCACUAUUUCCUAUUAUCUACAUAAAUUUCAUUAGUAUGUUGUUGUUUACUGUCCAUGAUUACCCUUCCUGAAGCUUCCUGAGAGUUUCAAGACUCAUUAUAUUCAUAGAAGAAGAAUUUAAUUUUGCAGCUAUAAUUCACUGCAUCAUCUUCUAAUCUUCUAUGCUUUUUAUGUUUCAGGGUCCAAGGAUGGUUCGCGAUGUAUUUCGUCUCGCAAAAGAGAAUGCCCCUGCAAUUAUAUUUAUUGAUGAGGUUGAUGCGAUAGCUACUGCUAGGUUUGAUGCCCAAACUGGAGCUGACAGAGAAGUACAACGUAUCCUGAUGGAACUUUUGAAUCAGGUAUUUCUAUGAAAUAUAUUUCUAAGAUUCUCUCUUUGAAUGUGUUGUGCAUUACUUGUAGUGGGCUCUGGUGACCAACAUUAAUUUUAAUUCUCUCACCUCUUAAUCUCCAACUCUCUGAUUUGGCUUCACUUCAUCGUUUGUUUUAAAUAUUCUCCUGUGCUCAGGUUUUUGACCUCUUGGUUUUUUCAACAGAUGGACGGUUUUGACCAGACGGUGAAUGUUAAAGUAAUAAUGGCAACCAAUCGGGCAGACACUCUGGAUCCCGCCCUCUUGCGUCCUGGAAGGCUUGAUCGCAAAAUUGAGUUCCCAUUGCCUGACAGACGCCAAAAGAGGCUUGUAUUUCAGGCACGUCUUUUUACAUUUCUAUACAUGUUAUAAUUCUAUAUGCUAUAGUCAAUAAAAGGUCAUUUUAUGUUUCUUGAGUGAUUUCAGUUUGUUUUGCUAAUUUCACCUCCUUAAUUUUGAACCAAUAGUUUAUUUUCAGUUGCUUUUCUAGCCUAUUAUUUGACGGUUCACUUGUAAACAGGUAUGCACGGCCAAAAUGAAUUUGAGUGACGAGGUAGACUUGGAGGAUUAUGUUUCCCGUCCUGACAAAAUUAGUGCUGCUGAGGUUUGUUCAUAUCUAAUAAUGUUCAUGAUUUAUCUUUUUUAUGUAAACCAUACUUGUUACUAGUUUUAGGAUCGUAGAUGAUUUAACUAACUAUCAAAAUUUAUUGUUUUUUGUUUUCAUUGUCUUGAGGUUUAAAACAACUAUUUAUAACUUGCUCUGGGAGAGGUUGGUAGGUUCUUUUAGAAUCCGUCAGAGUUUUGAGAUGUAUAGUUGGAGAGUAGUGUAAAAUAAGCUGCUAGUUUUAAUAAUUUCACUUGAACUGAAAACUGGUGUUGUGCUGUGGAGGUCUUGUUCUUCUAAGCUUAAAAUGUUCUAGAAUCUGUCACAAUUUUCAGAUAAUUUGUUGUAACUGUGAGAAGGAUUAUGCCGUGGACAACUUGUUUUUCUAAGGCUUAAAAUGUUACACAGCGAAUGAAAAUAUUGUUAGUGCUAUAAAAUAAGGAAAUAUUAGGUUUGAGAAGAAAGACAAUGACAACUUUUAGAAAGAUGUCUGCAUUAAUUAUUUGUUGAUCGUUGGUGUUGCAGAUAUCUGCUAUUUGUCAAGAAGCUGGAAUGCACGCCGUUCGGAAGAAUAGAUAUGUCAUACUGCCAAAGGACUUCGAAAAAGGUUAUAGGACCAACGUGAAGAAACCUGAUACUGACUUUGAAUUUUACAAGUGAUGAUGAGGGUUUUUCUGAUUUGUUUGUUGUAAUGCACGGUUCAGAAUAUAGUUAAAGGGUAAAUUUCUAGAGUAAUCG
rnacentral:lncRNA from 1 species